CCCCCCGCUUCCGGUGGUGGCCAGCCACCCUGGGGGCUCAUUGACUUACAGUUACAGCACUUUAGCCUCUGGGUCUGUCCCCACGUGGCCGUCCUCUCCAGUGUGUCUGCGUGUCUCUCCUGAUAAGGACACCACUCAUUCAGGGCCUACUCUGCUCCAGUGUGACCUCAUCUCAACUAAUGACACCGCCAAUGGCCCUGUCUCCAAAUAAGGUCGCAUUCCCAGGUCCUGGGGGUUAGGACUUGAACAUAUCUUUGGGGGGCACAGGUCAGCCCACAGCAGGCCUGUCAGCCGUGGCCUUUCACUAGAGGUGACAAGAGCAGAGGCCGGGGAGGCCGGAGGCAGCAGUGCGGGGAAUAUAGAGGCGUGCGGUCCCAUGCGGGGCCCAGGCCCACCCAGCAGACCUCAAACCUGCUUUGCAAACUCUCGACCGGAAGGGUGGUUGAUUGAGCAGAAUUCAGUUCAUAGUGGAGAGGUAGUUUGGAAGAAGGGAGGAUGGUCUUGCUUACUUAAAGGUUCCUAAAAGUGGGGAGGCUGGGAUGCUUCAGAGGUUCCCUCGUUUUGUCCGAGGAGCAGCCUGGGCCCCUGGGCAGAACCGUGGACCCCAGGCCCCCAGCAGCUCUGCUCCUGUUUCUCUUUCCAUUUGUGCAGCUGCCUCUCUGGGUCCAAAUCAAGGUGGGUUCCUUGUGCAUAUCACUUGUUCCUCAGUCUUUUCUUUUUGGUGGCAAAAUACACGUAAAAUCGAUCAUCUCUAUUAAUAAGUAGGAAGUAAAACAUUGCAACGCAGCUGCCAGCGAUGGGCGGCGUAGAGGAAGUUGCUCCUUGCUGCUGCGUCUGGGUAGCUGUGCCUCCUGGACCCCAGGCUCUUCCAGCAGUUUCCAUGAACAAGAUGGACACCCCAGCCCCCGAGCUCUGCUCGCAACUGGCCAAGCCUGUAAACAGAGAUAAUGCCAGCACUGGGCCACGGAUGCUGUGCGUAGCCGCCUGUGGAGGUUCCUUUCUCCCUAUGUGUUAAUACAAACAAUAGGCUGAAAAUGUAAUUACCACUGCUGACUUCAUUAAGAGCAGCUCUGAAGGUUACUCCUCGGUCCUGGGGUAGAAAAGACUGGAUUGGGGCCAUCUGUCCUCGCCAGCCCUGUGGUGGACCUCGCCGUUGGCUGCCCCAGGAAGCCAGUUUCAUCAGCCCCAUUUUGCAGGCACCGAACUGAUCUUGGGGAGGGGGAUGGGGGCCUCCCCUAGGCUGCCCCAUCAGCCAGGGGCCAUGGCAGGACUUGAACUUGGGGGAUUGGCACCCACGUGCCCCUGGGGCCUUCCCAGAGGGUCCAGGCCCGGAGCCAACUUCCUGGGUUCAGGCUCUUUGGCUGUUUGAUCUUGGGCAGUUUAUCUAAGCUCUGUGUCUUCAUUUGCACAUCUGGACAAAACCAGGCGCUUCUUGGCAACCGGCAUGUUUCAGAAAAUCCGUGGGUUCUUCUUUCUCUCCUUCCUCCUCACUGAAGAUGAACUGCCGCCUGGUGACGAGCCCCUCCCGCCUUGGCAGUCUUGCCCCAGGGCAUCCCCACAGAGGAGGCUCUUUCUUGCUCCCACGUGGGACACAACAGAUGGGCGGCCAAUUCGCAGGACAAAGCAGAAGGCAGCUGGGAUGGGUGAGCCUGUGGACAUGCGAUGAAGGCCAGGGGAGGGUUCACAGCGGGGUCACUCAGAGCAGCCUCGGGAAACAGACCAGACUGAAAACUGCUCGACGCAACUGGGGUUCCCGGCGUUCCCGGCGUGGAGCACAAUGCCCGGGAACCCGGAGACUGGGGCACCCGCGGCCGGAGUGGAGUCAUUGCCUGCCCCGGGCUUCCCACGGUGCUCAGACCCUAGCACGCACGCUCCUGAGUCUCUGAACUGGACGCCCAGAUGGAGCAUGGAAAGGAGGUGCUUCCCUCGGCCACUCAGCCCUGCGUCUCAGGUCACUGCGGCACAGGGGCCUCCUCCUGCCCCCACCUUGCCCAGCCCAGCUCCUCUCCUCGCUGACCUCGGAGAAUGACGAAACCGGUGGUCCCUCCCACAGCGGGUGCUGGGACUGAGGCCCCCAGGUGGGGAGGCUGAUGGCGGCCCCCCUUCCCCUCCCCUAUUGGCUGAAUUGUGCGUUGUGGGGUGCACUGCUGCUCCUGGGGUCGGGGUACAGGUGGGGAUACGUUGGCCCUGCUACCCACAGGCCAGUGGAAGCAGCUCCUGGCCUUAGUCACGGGACCUGAGGAUGCAUUUUUUUGACAGAGGGGUUCUCCAUCUCCCUACCUCCAACAUGGCACUGAAUCAGGGCAGUGGGUCCAGCCAGGUCCAGCCUGGAGGUGGGGGCUGGGGGCCAUCUCUAGGUGGAGAUGCAGGGGUCCUUUGCUGAGAGUUCACGCCCAGAGUGUGGCUGGCAUGAGGGAGCACCCCUGCCUCCCUGGGAGAGCAGGUGACAGCUCCUCGGGGUGGGAUCUGGGGCCCACGUGCCGCCUCCGGGGAGUGUGGGCUGGCAACAUGCCGCAUCAGCCUAGAACUCCCUCUGAGAGGUGACACCAGCGGGCAACCAGGACUGCAGGACGAGCAGCCUGGGAGACGACCCCCGCCCCACAUCACAGCCCAGGCUGGCCAGGACCGCUGGGCUCCCCUGGGGGUCUACUCCAGCCUGGCAAGAGAGUUUGCAAUUCAGGGGCUGCUUGUAAGGGCUUCUGCAUCCUCCCAGGACCGUCAAAUCUGGGGUCAUCAGGCUGAAUGGCGCCUGGCUGGUUCACAAAGCCGAGAAGCUGUGGCAGCCUCCUCGGGGCUAAAGAGAGACUUUCCUGGUGCUGGAAACCUGUUGGGCUCAGGGUGCGUGUGACCCAGGAGCUGGCUCUCCCUCCUCCACCUGCUGCAGAAAGGACGUUUCACAUCACCUGCUGAUUUAAUGAGAGGUCUCUGUCUGUCUGCCCCAGGCUUCCUUUUCUUCAUGCUGUCUUAGAUCUCCAUCCAUUUCACAAAACACUGAUUUGUCAGACAUUACCCUCAUUUUAAAUUAUAUAUAUUGGUUUAAACAUAAUCCACCUUCCCUUUCCGAUCCCAUUAGCUUAUAAAAGCAUUAGCAAACUGUCACACGUUUAAAUGAGCGUGUAAUGGGUAUCGGCUUUAAUUGUCAGCACCUAAGUGGCCAUUACAACCAAGUGUUUUGCCUCAUAAGUCAGGUAAGCCCCUCACCCUCCAAGGAAAAAUGCUUGAGACUUGGCUGCUGCAAGCUUAUAGCCAAAUUUGCAUCCCCUGGAAACACACAUAUAAGACACUGGUAUUUUGAUCAACCUUAAGUGGUGUUUGUUUGUUUGUUUGUUUUGGUAGGAAAAUAUACAUAGCAUCCGAUGUGUCAUUUUAACCAUUUUUUUAAAGUGUCCAGUUCUGUGGAAUCAGAAACAUUCACACUGUUGUGCAGCCAUCACCACCGUCCAUCUCCAGAAAUUUCUCAGCAUCUUCAGCUGAAAUUCUGCACCAAUUAAGCAGUAACUCCCCAGCCCCCGCCCCCAGCCCCUGGCAGCCCCCAUUCUACUUUCUGUCUCCAUGAACUGGACCCUCUAGGUCCCUCAAGUAAGUGGCUCAUACAGUAUUUGUCCUUUUGUGUCUGGCUUAUUUCACUCAACAUAACCGAGGUUUGGCCAUGUUGUAGCGUGUGUCAGAAUUUCCUUCUUUUUUCCAUGCUGAGCAAUAUUCCAUCGUGUGUUUACAACACAUUUUUUUUAUCCAUUCAUCAGUCGACGGACAUGGGUGGUUUCCACCUCUGGGCUGUUGCAGAGAGUACUUGUGCUGGGGGUGGGGCUUGGUUUUGUUUUACGUUCCAGUCCUCGUGUUUUCCUUUCUCUUCCUCAGCCGCUGAAAUCCAAGGGUUCUUACCUGUUUUAGGGGGUCACCAACCCAUUCAAGAAUGUCAAACAGUUUAGGUCCUCUCCCAUUGAAAAAGUUAAGUACGGCACGCCCACAAGCACUGCGUCCUUGCACCACAGGUUAAUCUCUGCUGUGGAUAAGCACUGUCUCCCCGGAAGCUGAAAAUCAGCGGUUUUCAAAUCAGAACCUGGUUGAAAUGCUGAGUAAAGCAAACCAUCGCUUCUGGCUUGACAGUUUUAGAAAGUGAGUGGCUGUGUCUGGAACUUCCCGGCUGUGGGCGCAACAGCAAGAAGGGUACAGAGUGUCUCGGGGGCCCUGGGGGUCAGGGGCAGAGCGCAUGGUCGUGUCCCAGACGCAGAGAGGUCAGCGGCAGUGUGUGGAGGGAAGGGCGUUUGCAGGGGACGUGCGCCCGGGCAGGAGGCAGAAGCCCCUCCCUCGUUCUAGGCAGGAGUCUCCCCAUGCUGGCCUCUUGCCUCCAGACCUUGGCUGCAAGGCCCCAGCCCGAAGCACCAACACUUUCCCAUGAUCCCAGGAAUCAGCUCUGGAGCUGGAGAUCCUCAUUUCCAAUCUCACUGCAUGUAAAGUUGUGUUCCAGGAGAGGCUUCGGCCGGACAGGAUGCGGUACUACCCGGCGGGGCUGCAGGAGCGCCAAGACCAGCCAGCAUCAGGAUCGUCUGCUGCGGCGGGGAGUGUUUCCUACAAAUUGGCCACGUCUGAGCAGCAGAUCUGAACAAGAUCCCACUGGGUUACACGCAGAGCUGUGGCUGAGCUGACGCUGGACACCCAGGGGUGCUCGGGGACUCGUGCCCGAUGUCCAGGCAUAAAGAUGGGAGGAAAGAGCUUCUACUGCGUCCCUCUCCAAGGUGAUGGCCGUUUAGACCCGACGGCCAACGGCUGCUCCAUUUUUCCAGUGGUUACUGCAGGACAGUGAUAACAGAAAUUUUCAUGUUCUGAGAUAUAGAGAAAAGAGCACGCUGACCGGAAGUAAAGAAAGUCCAUGUUAAAAAUCCAGAUUAAAUGCCGCCCUUCCCGGGACGCCAGUGCUGGUCCUCCUUUGAUGAUGAGACCCCCCUCCCCGGGUGCGGAGGCCACGCUCACUCACCCUGUACA